UACGUAGGGCGCAAGCGUUGUCCGGAAUUAUUGGGCGUAAAGAGCUCGUAGGCGGUCUGUCGCGUCUGCCGUGAAAACCCGAGGCUUAACCUCGUGGCUUGCGGUGGAUACGGGCAGACUAGAGGUAGGUAGGGGAGAACGGAAUUCCCGGUGUAGCGGUGAAAUGCGCAGAUAUCGGGAGGAACACCGGUGGCGAAGGCGGUUCUCUGGGCCUUACCUGACGCUGAGGAGCGAAAGCAUGGGGAGCGAACAGG
rnacentral:rRNA from 1 species